rnacentral:rRNA from 2 species
GGGAUUGCCUCAGUAACGGCGAGUGAAGCGGCAACAGCUCAAAUUUGAAAUCUGGCCCCUCUCGGGGUCCGAGUUGUAAUUUGUAGAGAGUGUUUCGGGGGAGACCGCGGUCUAAGUCCAUUGGAACAUGGCGUCAUAGAGGGUGAGAAUCCCGUCUGUGACCGCGGAUCGAGCCCAUGUGAAGCCUCUUCGACGAGUCGAGUUGUUUGGGAAUGCAGCUCAAAAUGGGUGGUAAAUUUCAUCUAAAGCUAAAUAUUGGCUGGAGACCGAUAGCGCACAAGUAGAGUGAUCGAAAGAUGAAAAGCACUUUGGAAAGAGAGUUAAACAGUACGUGAAAUUGUUGAAAGGGAAGCGCUUGCGACCAGACCUGCCCGUGGGCGAUCAGCCGCUGUUCUCAGCGGUGCACUCGUUCCACGAUCAGGCCAGCAUCGGUUUCGGCGGUCGGAUAAAGGCCUUGGGAAUGUAGCUUCCUUUCGGGGGAGUCUUAUAGCCCUUGGUGCAAUGCGGCCAGCCGGGACCGAGGACCGCGCUUCGGCUAGGAUGCUGGCGUAAUGGUCGUAAGCGACCCGUCUUGAAACACGGACCAAGGAGUCUAACAUCUAUGCGAGUGUUUGGGUGUCAAACCCAUGCGCGGAAUGAAAGUGAACGGAGGUGAGAACCCUUAAGGGCGCAUCAUCGACCGAUCCAGAUGUCUUCGGAUGGAUUUGAGUAUGAGCAUAGCUGUUGGGACCCGAAAGAUGGUGAACUAUGCCUGAAUAGGGUGAAGCCAGAGGAAACUCUGGUGGAGGCUCGCAGCGGUUCUGACGUGCAAAUCGAUCGUCAAAUUUGGGUAUAGGGGCGAAAGACUAAUC